AUGGAGAAGCAAAAUGUGAGAGAGGAAAGAAAGGGAACUAGUGAUGCAGGUAAAGGAACCAUUGAAGGGCUUGCAAUUGAGCAUAGUCCUUAUUUGAAUUACAAGGAUUUGGAAGAUUAUAAAAAUCAAGGUUAUGGUACUCAAGGUCAUCAACAACCAAAGGAAGGUCGUGGACCUGGUGCAACUGAGGCACCUACUCUUUCUGGUGCUGAUGUUUCUUCUCAGGGACAAUUAAAGGCUGCUGAUGGUGGUCAUAGGAAAUCAGUUCCUUAA